AACCUCCGCAAUGUGAGAAAUCGCGACGGGGGGAUCCCAAGUGCCAUUCUUAACGGGAUGGCUUUUCAUUAGUGUAAAGAGCUUUUGGAAUAAGGGCUGGGCAAGACCGGUGCCAGCCGCCGCGGUAACACCGGCAGCUCUAGUGGUAACAAUUUUUAUUGGGCCUAAAGCGUCCGUAGCCGGUUUAAUAAGUCUCUGGUGAAAUCCUGUAGCUUAACUGUGGGAAUUGCUAGAGAUACUAUUAGACUUGAGACCGGGAGAGGUUAGAGGUACUCCCAGGGUAGAGGUGAAAUUCUGUAAUCCUGGGAGGACCGCCUGUUGCGAAGGCGUCUAACUGGAACGGUUCUGACGGCGAGGGACGAAAGUUAGGGGCGCGAACCGGAUUAGAUACCCGGGUAGUCCUAACUGUAAACGAUGCGGACUUGGUGUUGGGGUGGCUUUGAGCUGCUCCAGUGCCGAAGGGAAGCUGUUAAGUCCGCCGCCUGGGAAGUACGGUCGCAAGACUGAAACUUAAAGGAAUU
rnacentral:rRNA from 1 species